ACGCGGCUGUUCCUCAACAAAACCCCUGCAACAGAGCCACCAGGACAGAGCUUGGGGGUCCUCCAGAGAAACUCACCUUCAAAGCUCUUCAGUGAUUCGCCAGUGAUGAGGUCCCAGUCCAAUCUCCCAAGAAACCUCUUCCCCCAUGGAAUCCUGGCUGCUAAGAUUAAGGGGACGUUAGCAGUGGCCAUUGAUCCUUUUGCCCUUGGUGAGCCAAGGUGAAAUGGAAGGCUCCGGAAGGUGAACAAUCACUCCUCAGUGACUGGAUUCCUCCUCUUGGGGUACUCGGAAGUCCAGGAGCUGCAAGAACACCUCACUGUUCCUCCUGGUCUACCUGGUGGUCCUGAUGGGAAAUCUCAUUAUAGUCACCAUCACUGCCCUCGACUGGUGCCUCCACACCCCCAUGUACGUCUUCCUCAGGAACUUGUCCAUCCUCGACCUCUGCCUCAUUUUCAUCACGGUCCCCAAGUCCAUCUUCACUCUGUGCCCCAAAACACAUCCAUCUCCUUCCUGGGCUGUGUCUUCUAGGUCUUUCUAGAGAUUCUGUUUGCUGCUUCGGAGACGUUUGUCCUCACGGUAAUGUCCUACGACCGCUACGUGGCCAUCUGCCACCCCCUGCGCUACGAGGUUGUCAUGGAUCGAGGGGUCUAUGUAAAGCUCAUGGUCACUUCACGGCUCAGGGCGGGGCUGCUUAGGGUUUUGUUCUCCACUAAUGUUUCCUCCCUGCAUUUCUGUGAGUCCCACGGGGUCCAAAUGUUUUCCUGAGACAUCCACUCCUUUUUGAAGAUCUCUUGUUCUGAGAAACAUA